GAUGAACGCUGGCGGCGUGCCUAAUACAUGCAAGUCGAGCGAACAGACGAGGAGCUUGCUCCUCUGACGUUUGCGGCGGACGGGUGAGUAACACGUGGAUAACCUACCUAUAAGACUGGGAUAACUUCGGGAAACCGGCGCUAAUACCGGAUAAUAUAUUGCUCCGCAUGGUUCAAUAGUGAAAGACGGUUUUGCUGUCACUUAUCGCUGGAUCCGCGCUGGAUUAGCUAGUUGGUAAGGUAGCGGCUUAUCAAGGCAACGCUGCGUAGCCGACCUGAGAGGGUGGUCAGCCAGACUGAGACUGUGACACGGUACAGAGUCCCACGGAUAGCGCCCAUAGGGAAACGUGAGCAAGGGGCGGAAGCUUGACGGAACAACGCCGCAGGAGUGAUGAAGAACUUCGGGUCGUAAAACACUGUUUUUGGGGAGGAACAAAUUUGUGAGUAACUAGGCGCGUCAGGGCGGUAACUAAUCAGAGAACCACGGGUAACUUCGUG
rnacentral:rRNA from 1 species